rnacentral:rRNA from 1 species
UACGUAGGGUGCGAGCGUUGUCCGGAAUUAUUGGGCGUAAAGAGCUUGUAGGUGGUUUGUCGCGUCUGCUGUGAAAAUCCGAGGCUCAACCUCGGACUUGCAGUGGGUACGGGCAGACUAGAGUGUGGGUAGGGGAGACUGGAAUUCCGUGGUGUAGGCGGUGGAAUGCGCAGAUAUCAGGAGGAACACCAAUAGCGAAGGCAGCUCGCUGGGACGGUACUGACGCCUAAGGCGCGAAAGCGUGGGGAGCGAACGAGGA